AGCUAUUUGUGUUGGGUCUGGGUGGCACCAGAAUGCCAAGUGCCUUGCAGAGGAGAAUGUUUGGGUGGCUGGUGUCCAGUGGUGACCAGGUGGAGCGUCUCAAUUAUCUGGCUAAACAUGGAGCUUCAGGAAGAAGUUCCAGAUCUCCAGACUUGAAUAAGAAUAAGGUGCAAAUCCCAUCUUUCAAAUCUUUCCCACUCUCAGAAGAGUCAAAAUGUGCCUUUUCUGCAAGCAGUCCGGAGCUAGGCACUUUGCAUACGCUUUGUUACAAUGUUGCAUCAAUCUCGCCUGGCUGAAUCACGGUGUUUUCCUAAGGGUAAAGGGCCCCGUGAGUGCUGGGAGGCCUUUGGCAUCUGGUUUUCGUCAGGCAGCAGGUAAAAGUGCAGAUGGCGGGUCUGAUCGUGCUUUAAAAAAAGCAGAGUUAGAAACGUGGGAAAGGCAUUUGAGAGGCACCUCUUACUCUGUGUGUGAUCUCCCGUGCAUCCUGUUUCCUUCUGUAACCAAACACCUCAACUCCUAAUACCCAGAGGAAAACCCUUCAGACUUGGGAGACAGCCGGCAUUGCUGGCACUGGCCUCUCUGGAGCUUUUCUCGAUAAGUUUGAAAAUUUAAAGACAGUGGUGGCACUGUUUCUCUGUUGAAUGGAGAGUUGACAUUCUUAUUUUUCCUUCCUCUUCUGCAAAACUGGGGUGUCAUCAGAUCAGUGUUUGCUGCUGCUGUUGCGUUCUUGGGUAGCCACUCUUUUUUUUUUUUUUUUUCAGAGGGAGUCUUGCUCUGUCGCCCAGGCUGGAGUGCAGUGGCCCAAUCUCAGCUUAUCGCAACCUCUGCCUCCCAGGUUCAAGCGAUUCUCGUGCCUCAGCCUCCCGAGUAACUAGGAUUACAGGCGUGUGCCAUCACACCCGGCUAAUUUUUGUAUUUGUAGUAGAGACGGGGUUUCAUCAUGUUGGCCAGGCUGGUCUUGAACUCCUGACCUCAGGUGAUCCGCCCGCCUUGGCCUCCCAAAGUGCUUGGAUUACAGGCUUGAGCCACCGUGCCCAGUCAGCCACUCUUAUUUUACACACUGCUUCUGGCUGAUAGGCCUACAAGGUCUAAGCUUAAUCCCAGGAAAAGUGCUACCCGAAUGGUCUGUCAGUCAGCCUUUUGUUUGUUUGUCUCGUUCCGGUCAUCCUUGCCUCUGUCCACCCAGACAACAUUCAAUCAACAUUUGUUAUGGAGCCAGCAGUAUGAUUUUGCAAGUUACUUUUCUAAACUCUCAUUUCCUCAUCUGUAAAAUAAUAGGAGAUACUCAUUAGGGUGAUUCUAAGAGUUAAAUGGAAACAUCUGAGGAAAGCACUUAGCAUCGGUCUGGCACAUAGUAAGUGCUCAGUAAAUGAUGGUUGUCAUUAUUGUUGAGCAGAGCCAGGGGUUGCCACCCCGGUCAGCUGAUUGGCUGUAGACAUGGUGUGACCAUAUGGAGCUGGGAUUUGGGCCACACUCAGCACAUAGUUGUGAUCCAUAAAUGCACAACCUUUGGACCCCAUUGUCACCUCCCUUGGAAUAUCUUGGUGUUCUUGUUUCAGUCUGAUAAGGCCAUUGUAGCUGGGUUCUAGGUAUCUCUGAGCAUGGAGCACUCACGCCAGCCUCAGACAUCGCUGUCAAGGGCAUCAGCAGCAGUGAGGUGAUUCCUCAGCCGGUCAUUUGGGCAUCGCUGCCUGGGUCUCUCCUGAGCUUCAGCUCAUCUUUUUUGUCACCUGCCAUACCUUUGCCUCUAAGUGUCCCCCAGUUUUUAUUGCUGCCCUCUCCAUCCGCACCAGUGCCUCUCUCUGCCAGUUCCACUGUUCUCUCGCCUGCUCUUUAGGAUUUCCUUUGUUUUGCCUCCUUGCCUGGUGCUUUCAGCGAGCAGCGCUGACGUCAUCUCAGGAACCGUGCUGCGUCUGAGAGAAGAACCUGCAGUAGCUGUUUAAGUGUGCGGUGCUGGCAGAGUACCUCCCUGAAGGUGUCCUGGGGAAAGGAUUGGAGGAUCUGCCGCGUGUCAAAGCCCUUUCUACACCUGUGACAACACAAGAUGUGCCCGUAGACACCUUUCUGAACAUGGGUGUGGCAGAAGGCCAAGCUCACACCCAGAAAGCCACCUGCCCUUCUGCUCCUUAUCCUUGUCAGUCGCUGUGCCUGCAUCCCCAGGAGGACCUCACGGGACUGGGAGGGCCUGGGACAGGCUGGCCUCAGAUCACCAGGCAUUGAGACCUCCUGCUAGCCUCAGGCUGACAGUAAUAAAUGUACAAAAGAGGACAGAGCUGCUGAGGAGCGGCUGGGAGUCCAGACACAAAGGACUGUCGGAGGAGUGAGUCAGGGCCUCUGAAGGUCACUUGAGGAGUGUCCGCCCUGAAUCAUUGACCUGCGGCAUGAAUGGAGA
rnacentral:lncRNA from 1 species